AUGAAGGUGUCGGAGGGAACCGAAGGCGGCUGUCGGAGCUGAAAGGGGAAUUUAAGAGGAAGCUUCUGGUGACUGGGAAGUAGUGCAAGCAACAAUUAGACCUGAUUACCAGCACGACUCCAUCGGUCUCAGUUUUCUACAUCCAUGUCUAGCUGAACCUGCUGGGGAAUGGAAGUAUUGGACAGGCCUGGAAAACCUCUGACACGGUGGCACCAGCAUGGCAUGUUAGAACUAACAAAACAGGCUUUACACAGCAUCGACAAUAGCUCUGCCCGAAUCUAAACACACUGCAGGUAAUGUCCUCAUAUAAGGUGUUGUCUGAUGAUUUGCCAAUUUACAGUAUUAUGACUGGAUU